UCACACUUGGGAAUAAUUUUUAGAAUUAAGUAGGAUUUGCGAAAUUAAGUCGAGGUUAGGGAGUAAAGUGAAAAGACUAAAUUACCCUUACCUUACCUUUCCAUGCAAACCAAACAAGACGUAUGACACAAAUCAAAUCACAAUUGCUUUUAACCAUUUCGAUACGCAACCGAUGUUAUACGCAAUCCAUCCUCACACGUAAACCGCUCUCACAAACUACGGCACCACCAUACGUCCAAUCUAUCUCACGACUUAAGACCACAGAUUCAUUUCCUUCCCUGCACAAGACCAAAACCGCAAAUUAUUUCUUCCUCCUUCCAAACCGCAGCAUUAUAUCUCUACUCUUUGUUCUUAUACCACAAACCACCCAUAUCAUUUGCUCCACAUUUCCAUUUCCUUUCUGCCGUGAGCUGCGGGCGGAGUGUCCAAGGGAAAAGAGCCGAGCUUUCAACUUUUCUUUCCUUUCAUCCGUGAACUAGAAAAAAAAAAUAAAAAUGGUGAACCCUGCUGCUCUAUACUCGAUCCAACCGUGAGGUAGUGAAGAGAGCGGAGAGCUAAACCUUCUCCAUUUUGGUUGCAAGCUUGGACAAGAGAUAAGAGGGGUGGACGAACUGAAAGUUUGGACGGAUCGAGAAGGAAGGAUUUGCAGAAGCUAGUCGUGUGAACUAAACUUCAAUCUAAGGGUUUUUCGAGGACACGGAUUUCGAUCCCCAACUUGAUAUCUGAACUCCACUCUGGGUUUUGGAAACUGAAAGCUGGAGGCUUAAUUAUGUUUUCUUUUGGGCUGUACUUGAAUUCUAUAACUUGUUCUGUGGGCUGUAGCGUGUUAUUGGAAUAAUGUAUUUUCCUUUUUGGAUUGCCACUUGAAGCUGGAAAAUGUGUAAACCCUAAUUCGAUUACUUGGCUUGUAAGUUGUAUUAUGGAUUUAUGCAUGUUAUCUAUCUGGGUUGUUAUGAUUUUGUA